AUGACUAAGUUUUCUUUCAUAUCCAUUCUUGUCCUUUUCUUUAUUUUUUCAGGAAGAUGGUUGAUGGACGCAAAGGUCUCGGAAGGCCAUGAACUAGACACGUCGAGCCUGAACUAG